CCCUAGCCCCGAUUGCAGCGACAUCCUUUUUUGUAUGGGAUAAAGCAUUGGCAAAAAGAUAUAGCGGAAAGCGGGAAAAAGC
rnacentral:sRNA from 1 species